GAACCCACUUUUUAACCCAAAAAAAGUUAAAACCGUUAAACAUUAUAACUCACGGUUGCAAGGUGUUUCCUCUCCCGUGGAUCCGGUGCUUCUGGUCCCGGUUACUGGAGCAGGAUGAAUGGGAUGUGUUCAGGGGCUCCAGGAAAUCUGAGUGACACAACAGGGGAAAUGCAAAUGCAGAAAUGAGCACGUGGAAAAGCCGCCUCUUCAGGUCACAUGUCUUCUUCUUCUUCGGUGGGUUUUUUAUGGCAGCUGGCAUCCAAAUUGUUGCAUUGCUGCCACCUUCAGGAUAAUUUUAAGAAAGGAGAUACCCUGAAACUAAAAGGACCUCAUCCUUCGCCUCCAUGACAUUUCAGACGGACAUAUUCUUCUUUGCGCACACAGCUGGGACCGGAGCGCUGGCUGACCUUCAGGAUCAGAAAGCUGUCUCUGUCUCUGUUGGUGGAACCUGAAAUGUUUUCUGGUCUUAUUUGAACAAAGUGAUCACAUGACUCCUUCUGAUAUCACUGCAGAUGAGCUGUAAGCUAGCUAGCUAAUGUAGUUAACCUUCAGAUAUACUGACCAACACUUCCAGUUAAUGAUCCAGCAUCCUCUAAAACCCGAAAUUGUGCCCAUAUUUCUAUAAAAUCAGCCAACAGAGAGGACUCUUUCUGGUUAAAACUGCCAUUUGUGAGCCUGGGAAUGUCAGAAAUGCAUUCCUCAUCCUCAAUAACCCGCAGACACUCUAAAGUUGUCCAAAUUCACCAAACCUUUUUUUAAGCAUAUAGGCGAGAAUGAUAAUCAAUGCUAAUAAAGCAACUUAAUCGUGCAAAUUGCCCACCAUACGCAAGUUAUCAACCUGGCAGUUUCUAUGUGCUGGAGACCCCAUCAUCAUUUCCAGGACUCUGAGCUGCAGACUGACCAGUAGCUGUCCCCAUCAUACAGCCCGUUGGUCAGUGAUAUAACUGGGAGUGAUGUGGGGGGCAAAGAGAGGGAUGGUAAAUGAGAAACACCAAUUCAAUUAAGUCUCCUGAUGGUUAUCUCUAAUUGGCUUACAGCGUUUGUGUUGUGGAUCGCAGACACUGACAGUCUGUCGUCUCCCGGCCAGCAGAGACGAUGUUCCUCUAAGAACUGGACAA